GUUGCUUUCAGGAGGGAGGUUUUAUAAAGCAGGAGCCACAGAUGGGGAAGUGAGCCCUGAGGAGCUGGAGGUGCUGUGGGCUGCUCUGGCGUGGUGUGGUGCUUGUGGGCAGCCGUAAGGGAACCAGCAGUUUUAAAAAGCCUUUCAUGGCCAUGCAGUAUAACAUACAACCUCACUGAGGAGGAUAUUCACUGACAGACCUUGGGAAGGCCACCAAGAUGGACCUUUCAGGAGCCAGACAACAGAUGCACUUGAGCAUUUUAAAAGAGCAGAAUGAAAUCCUUCCUGGACUAUUAACAGUAACGCUGCGUACUCAGUGCACUGAGAACAUUCCAGAGGAGAAGAGUUUGUGCCAGAAUUUGCAAAACAUGACGAGGGUGAGCUGAAUUGCUAGAGGUUUGUCAGCUGGCAGCUUCAGACAAAACCAUUGAUAGGCAGAAUUGAAGGUGUAAAAAAAAAAAAAAAAAAAAGAAACACAUCGGGAGGCUGCAGGCAGUGCAGCAGGUCCAGAGCAGAGGCACUAGGUUGAACUUGAGGCUGCAGCCGGUGUGUACGAUAAGGAGAGAUGUCAGCAGUUCUCUUGUGUUAGAUGAUUUGGAGGAAGGCAAACAGAGGCAGGUGAGGAGUCUCCAGGUUGCUUUGUGGGAAACACUCCUUAUCACAGAGGAGUCCUGUCUACACUUCAAGCACAGACAUGGGAUUUGUAUCAGGGACCAACACAGAAAAGCCCUCAGGUCUGAUCUCCUACUUAACACAGGCCAGAUGAGCACGAGGAUCCCUGUGGCCUUAAAUGUAUGAUCUGUUAUUAGAAAACACCUGGCAGCUUGACUGGCAUCACUGGGAAGGGACAGGGGUAGGAGCUUUUUUGAACUGAAGCUCUGCUCCCAUUGCCUUGCACAGGGGUAGCCCCAGGCAAAGACUAACCUCAGAGUUUGCUAACCUUGCACACAGAGGCACGUACUGUGCCCAGAGCAUGGCUUUUUGAGUAAUGAAUAGCAACAGGAUAAGCUCACGUUUUCAGUCCCAGCCAGCCAGCAUGGUCUUGUGUGUGCCCACCUGAUGGCUUACCUGGCUCCUGGACUGGGAAAUCUCACAGUGACAUGCCUGGAGAGCCUCCGCGUGUGACUGCACUCCCCGCUCACCACAGCCCAGCAGCAGCUCCAGAAUCACCUUGCUUGCUACGCUGUAUGCUGCCCUCCCCACACGGAGCCUCUGCUGCCUGCUAGAUAUUCAUGGUGGCUGCUUGGAAAGCCACAGUCAUAAUGGGAUCAUUUUCCUGCAAGCUGUUUCAGAAGACAUCAUCCAGCCAGUCAUAUUUCUGUGCAGCAUCUGUCAGGCUUCUGCACUUCAGCAAGCUUCAGACAGGACCAUUUAUAGUUUCAAUAAUGGUUUAUUCAAAGACAGGUUAUGAUAACUUCAAUCUCUCUGUUUUGCAGAUAUGAUGUAAUUUGAACAUGUCUAUGGAAGUUUGAAUGAAGGAAUUGUCCUGUGUAUAUGAUGAAUAUUCUAAUUGAGAAUAAUAUUCAAUAAAGGCCAAGACAGGUGCUUUCUCCUUCUUGGGAUUCCUAA